GUGCCGUGUGCAGCUGUUGCGGCAGGCUACUGCUCAUCGGAGCUAGUUACUAUGCUGAGGCGUCUCCGCAUCGAGUGCACACAACGUCUAAAGUCAAGGAUGACCCCCUCCCCCGGGCACUCUGAAGGAAGGUUGGAGAGGUUUGGGUCAGACAGAGACGAGAAAGAGGCUAGAGAGGAAGAAGGAAGGGAGGACAGCCUCUGAGCGGGGCCGCCUCGGCUAUGUAAACCGAGGAAGCAUGAUCACUUUGUGCCUUAUAUAAACAGUCGUCAAGGAGUGUUCAAAUGCCAGGAAGUGCAUAACGGAAGUCUUCUUCUACGUUCAGCCCGUUUCUGAACUUGGUUUUGACAACAAUGAACAUGGAAAAUGCAGCUUCACAUAUAUACAUGUAUCCAAAUAUAGUUGAAAAAUGUAA